GUCCGCUGAACUUAAGCAUAUCAAUAAGCGGAGGAAAAGAAACCAACAGGGAUUGCCCUAGUAACGGCGAGUGAAGCGGCAACAGCUCAAAUUUGAAAGCUGGCUCUCGGGCCCGCAUUGUAAUUUGCAGAGGAUGCUUCUGGCGACGCGCCUUCCGAGUUCCCUGGAACGGGACGCCAUAGAGGGUGAGAGCCCCGUCCGGUCGUGCGCCUAGCCUCUGUGAAGCUCCUUCGACGAGUCGAGUAGUUUGGGAAUGCUGCUCAAAAUGGGAGGUAUACGUCUUCUAAAGCUAAAUACCGGCCAGAGACCGAUAGCGCACAAGUAGAGUGAUCGAAAGAUGAAAAGCACUUUGAAAAGAGAGUUAAAAAGUACGUGAAAUUGUUGAAAGGGAAGCGCUCAUGACCAGACUUGGGCUGGCCCGAUCAUCCGGCGUUCUCGCCGGUGCACUCGGGCCGCCCAGGCCAGCAUCAGCUUUCGCCGGGGGAUAAAGGCGGCGGGAAUGUGGCUCCCUCGGGAGUGUUAUAGCCCGCCGUGCAAUACCCUGGUGGGGGCUGAGGUUCGCGCGUAUGCACGGAUGCUGGCGUAAUGGUUAUCAGCGACCCGUCUUGAAACACGGACCAAGGAGUCGUCUUCGUAUGCGAGUGUUCGGGUGUCAAACCCCUACGCGGAAUGAAAGUGAACGCUGGUGAGAGCUUCGGCGCAUCACCGACCGAUCCUGAUGUUCUCGGACGGAUUUGAGUAAGAGCAUACGGGGCCGGACCCGAAAGAAGGUGAACUAUGCCUGUAUAGGGUGAAGCCAGAGGAAACUCUGGUGGAGGCUCGCAGCGGUUCUGACGUGCAAAUCGAUCGUCAAAUAUGGGCAUGGGGGCGAAAGACUAAUCGAACUUACUUGGGGGU
rnacentral:rRNA from 1 species